rnacentral:rRNA from 1 species
AAGAGACAGCAGUCGCCGCGGUAAUACGAAGGGGGCUAGCGUUGCUCGGAAUGACUGGGCGUAAAGGGCGCGUAGGCGGAUUGUUUAGUUAGGCGUGAAAUUCCUGGGCUUAACCUGGGGACUGCGCUUAAUACAGGCAGUCUAGAGUGAGGAAGAGGGUUGUGGAAUUCCCAGUGUAGAGGUGAAAUUCGUAGAUAUUGGGAAGAACACCGGUGGCGAAGGCGGCAACCUGGUCCUUGACUGACGCUGAGGCGCGAAAGCGUGGGGAGCAAACAGGAUUAGAUACCCCGGUAGUCCCUGUCUCUUAUAA